rnacentral:rRNA from 1 species
UUGGGAAUCUUGCACAAUGGGGGAAACCCUGAUGCAGCGACGCCGCGUGGACGAUGAAGGCCUUAGGGUUGUAAAGUCCUUUUUUGGGGAAAGACUUAGGACGGUACCCCAAGAAUAAGCUCCGGCUAACUACGUGCCAGCAGCCGCGGUAAGACGUAGGGAGCAAGCGUUGUCCGGAUUUACUGGGCGUAAAGAGCGCGUAGGCGGCUCGUUAAGUGUGAAGUGAAAUCUCCAGGGCUCAACCCGGAAACUGCUUUACAUACUGGCGAGCUUGAGGGAUGUAGAGGUAACUGGAAUUCCUGGUGUAGCGGUGAAAUGCGUUGAUAUCAGGAGGAACACCCAUGGCGAAGGCAGGUUACUGGACAUCAUCUGACGCUGAGGCGCGAAAGCGUGGGUAGCA